AACUUGAACCACUCCGCUGGCUUAGCAGAUAGAGCGUCUGCCUCCAAUGCGGAAGGUCACAGGUUCGAACCCCGGUCGAGUCA